ACUGCCGAAGCUCAGGAAUGUACCUAGUACAUUGGUAGAGGAGCAUUGUAUACGGGACGAAGCAGUACCGAUAAGGACCUGUGGACUGUAUAGAAGAGAGAAUGUCGGAAUGAGUAGCGAGAGGAAGGUGAGAAUCCUUCCGGCCGAAUAUCUAAGGUUUCCAGAGUAAAGCUGAUCUGCUCUGGGUAAGUCGGGGCCUAAGGCCAGGUCGAAAGACGUAACCGAUGGACAACAGGUUGAAAUUCCUGUACCUUAAGUAAACAGAACUGUGGGGACACGUGUGGAGAGCACAAGCCGGAAAUGGAAAAGCCGGUGCAAGCGAGGUAGGAGAUGAACAGGCAAAUCCGUUCAUCAAUCCGAGACGUGAUGCGGACCGAAUUAAGAGUAGGGAAGUGUGUGAGCCAUGCGUCAAGAAAAGCCGCUAUUGUUUUACUUAAGCCCGUACCGUAAACCGACACAGGUGGAUGAGGAGAGAAUCCUAAGGCCGACGGGAGAAGCAUUGUUAAGGAACUCGGCAAAAUGACUCCGUAACUUCGGGAGAAGGAGUGCCAGCGAGAGCUGGCCGCAGAGAAUUGGCCCAAGCAACUGUUUAGCAAAAACACAGGUCUAUGCAAAACCGUAAGGUGAAGUAUAUGGGCUGACGCCUGCCCGGUGCUGGAAGGUUAAGAGGAGAGGUUAGCGGUAACGCGAAGCUUUGAAUUUAAGCCCCAGUAAACGGCGGCCGUAACUAUAACGGUCCUAAGGUAGCGAAAUUCCUUGUCGGGUAAGUUCCGACCCGCACGAAAGGCGUAAUGAUUUGGGCACUGUCUCAACAAUGCACCCGGUGAAAUUGAAAUACCAGUGAAGAUGCUGGUUACCUGCGCCAGGACGGAAAGACCCCAUGGAGCUUUACUCCAGCUUGAUACUGGGAUUCGGUAUUGCAUGUACAGGAUAGGUGGGAGGCUAGGAAGUGAUAACGCCAGUUGUCACGGAGCCGCUGUUGGGAUACCACCCUUGCAGUAUUGGAUUUCUAACCAGCGACCAUGAACUGGUCGGGGGACAAUGUCAGGUGGGGAGUUUGACUGGGGCGGUCGCCUCCGAAAGGGUAUCGGAGGCGCUCAAAGGUUCCCUCAGAAUGGACGGAAACCAUUCGAAGAGUGCAAAGGCAGAAGGGAGCUUGACUGCGACACCGACGGGUGGAGCAGGUACGAAAGUAGGACUUAGUGGUCCGGUGGUAUAAAGUGGGAUUGCCAUCGCUCAACGGAUAAAAGCUACCCUGGGAUAACAGGCUUAUCACUCCCAAGAGUUCACAUCGACGGAGUGGUUUGGCACCUUGAUGUCGGCUCAUCGCAUCCUGGGGCUGAAGUAGGUCCCAAGGGUUGGGCUGUUCGCCCAUUAAAGCGGUACGCGAGCUGGGUUCAGAACGUCGUGAGACAGUUCGGUCCCUAUCCGGCGUGGGCGUAGGAUAUUUGAGAGGAGCUGUCCUUAGUACGAGAGGACCGGGAUGGACUGGCCGCUGGUGUAUCUGUUGCAUACCAAAUGCAUGGCAGAGUAGCCAAGCCGGGACGGGAUAAACGCUGAAGGCAUCUAAGCGUGAAGCCCCCCUCAAGAUGAGAUAUCCCUACGUAAGUAGUAAGACCCCUUGAAGACGACAAGGUAGAUAGGUCAGAGGUGGAAGUACAGUAAUGUAUGGAGCUGACUGAUACUAAUCGGUCGAGGGCAUGACCUA
rnacentral:rRNA from 1 species